AUAUUAACACAUGGCAGACAGACAUUGAAAUGGCCAGUACCUUCAGGUCAGGAGGGAGAAGUUAUUGACCUCCUAGAGACAAGGUACUAGUAAACCUGGAGCACAGUCAUGCUGAAGAGGCUGCAUUCUGGCUCACAGCAGGACGGGGCUAAAGAACAUGAAGAGCAGAUGCCUGAGUACAAAUGGUGCCCGGAUAAGAGACGCUUAGCCAUGCAAAUGAGAGGCUCACUUCCAGAGGCUUCUGUUUUGUCACACCAAUUCAGGGAACUAUCCAUUUGUAGAAGAGUUAUGCCACAACAAACAUGAGGAAGAACAAGCAACAUUCGCCCACAUCAGUAAACGAUAUCAUUAUCAUAACGUCAUUGUCAUUGUAUUUUCCCUUUGAAGACACUGUAAUGGACCAUAAAAUGAAUAGUACAUUCUAACCCAGUGGGCACAACAAUUCAUCUAACCCAGUGGACACAGCAAUUCAACUCUUCUUUUCUUCUUUUGUCUCCUUUUGUAACUCUCCCUCAUUCGACACAGCGUUUCCCCUCUGGCCCCUAAAAAGUGCCAUUUGAAUUGACAACAUGAACUUACACAACAUCCUGAAGUGGACAGACAAUGAGUGAAAGAGCGACAUGUCUUGAACGUUCUACCCCAGUUCACAGUUAAUAAUAUACAGGUGUGAUUUCUAAGAGGGUUUUGACGAUAGCGUUCUCACUCUGUAUUCAAUUUAGAUUGUGUUCCAGAUGGUUGCCGACGGAGACACCAACGUUCCUAUUCUGCUUCGAAUAAUUAUUUUCAGCUCAGAUGCUCAUACAUACCCCACAAGCCAUGCCACCAUGGGUUUCUUCACAGUCCCCAAGUCUAGAACAGACUCUAGGAAUUGCACAGUACUACAUAGAGCCAUGACUACAUGGAACUCAAGCUAGCAGUAAAAUCUGAUUUUGCACACGCACACAUUGUAAUGUUGUUGUAUUGUAGUAUUAUCCAUUUUAUAUCGUACGUUUGUAAUAAGAGAGCAAUAAUAUAAUGAAGUAGUGUAUGAUGUAUUGUUUUAUUGAUGAUGUGGGCUGUUGUGUUUUUGUUGUGAUAUAAUUGUUUUAAUCCUGUUUGUACCCCAGGAAGAGUGCCUUGACAGCAGCUAAUAGGGAUCCUAAUAAAUACAAAUAAAAAAAUAUACCAAGGCC